rnacentral:rRNA from 1 species
AUUGAACGCUGGCGGCAUGCCUUACACAUGCAAGUCGAACGGUAACAGGUUAAGCUGACGAGUGGCGAACGGGUGAGUAAUAUAUCGGAACGUGCCCAGUCGUGGGGGAUAACUGCUCGAAAGAGCAGCUAAUACCGCAUACGACCUGAGGGUGAAAGCGGGGGAUCGCAAGACCUCGCGCGAUUGGAGCGGCCGAUAUCAGAUUAGGUAGUUGGUGGGGUAAAGGCCCACCAAGCCAACGAUCUGUAGCUGGUCUGAGAGGACGACCAGCCACACUGGGACUGAGACACGGCCCAGACUCCUACGGGAGGCAGCAGUGGGGGAA